CGCCCCCCCCCCCCAAUCCGCGAAUUAAACUAGUGCCGCAAAAGCAGAGCGGAGGCGGAGGACCCCCGCCCCCCAAGCCGCCACCACCACCACCGCUUCUUCUCGGUUCUGCUGCAGCUACGGCUGCUGGCUCUCUCUCCUUUUCCUUCCCUUCUCCUCCCGCCGCCGUACAAAAGCUGUGGAUAGGGAGAGGCAGAGAGAGAUAGGGAGCAGCUUGGGGAGGCUGGUGGAGAGAUCGAGCGCAAAAAGCGAUUUGGCGCUGUGUUCGUCGGCUGGAAAGUUCUGGUUUUUUUUCUUCGUCUCGGGGUUCGGUGGAGUGCUUGGGGUUGAUUCGCUGGGGGUUUGUGUUGCUGCCUCCUGUGCGUGCGGGUGCGGCCAUGGCGGGGAGGCGGUGGUAGCGGUUGGCCGUGUGUUUCUUGAUCCCGUCGUGGGUUGUCGGGGAGAAUUGGUGCUCGGGAGCGGGGUGGGGAGGGGAUUGGGGAAGGGGAGAGACAGCCGGGGCGGUGAGGUGAUGUAUGGCUCGCCGGUGUCCAAGGAUCUGAACCUGCCGGUGCAGCCGCCGAUGACUUCGUCCGGGCUGCUGCGCUACAGAUCGGCGCCGAGCACGCUGCUCGGCGAGGUCUGCGAGGACUUCCUCCAGCCCGGGCCGCGCGCCGGCAGCCCCGACCCCUGCGCCGACAACGUCUUCUCCAGGUUCCUGGCCGACCACCAGAUCAGGGACAAGCCGCCGGCGCCGGCGCCGCAUGCCCCCGCCGCGGCGCACUUCCCGGACACGGCUGCCAUGGCCUCCCAGCAGCAGCAGCAGAUGAUGUUCCACUCGCAGCAGCAGCAGCAGCAGCAGCAGCAGAUGGCCGCCGUGGAGUCCGGGCUCUACCGCACCGUCAGCUCCGGCAUGGAGGCCCCCACAGCCGCCGCCAGCAGCCUGAUCCGGCAGAGCAGCUCCCCCGCCGGAUUCCUCAAUCAUUUGAACAUGGACAACGCGUACGGGGGCAUGCUGCGGGCCGGCAUGGGCGUCGGCGGCUUCAGGAACGGCGCCAGCGCGGCCGCCGCGGCCGACUCCCCCUCCGGCGGCGGCAGGCUCAAGGGCCAGCUCAGCUUCUCUUCGCGGCAGGGCUCCCUGAUGUCGCAGAUCUCGGAGAUGGGCAGCGAGGAGCUCGGCGGGAGCAGCCCCGAGGGCGCCGGCGGCGGGCGCGGCUACAUCCCCGGGUACGCGAUGAGCUCCGGGUGGGAGGACUCGUCGUCGCUCAUGUCGGAGAACCUGUCCGGGAUGAAACGCCCGCGGGACUCGUCGGAGCCCGGCCAGAGCGGCCUGACGCAGCAGUUCAGCCUGCCCAAGACGUCGUCGGAGAUGGCGGCCAUCGAGAAGUUCCUCCAGUUCCAGGACGCCGUGCCCUGCAAGAUCCGCGCCAAGCGCGGGUGCGCCACGCACCCGCGCAGCAUCGCCGAGCGGGUGCGGAGGACAAAGAUCAGCGAGCGAAUCAGGAAGCUCCAGGAGCUCGUGCCCAACAUGGACAAGGAAACACUAGGCGAUAGAUCAGCAGCCUCUGUAUGGUUCACAAAUCUGCCGAGGACCACCCUCCUGAAUUGACCGGUGUACUUCCCAUUCCCUGCAGCAAACCAACACCGCAGACAUGCUGGAUUUGGCCGUCGACUACAUCAAGGAUCUCCAGAAGCAGGUCAAGGUGCUGAACGAGAGCCGCGCCAGCUGCCCCUGCUCGGCGAGCAAGCAGCAGCAGCAGUUCUCCGGCUGAAAGCCCCAGGAGUGGAGGCUCUGGGCUUUGGAAAUGUUGAUGGGGGUCGCACAAUCUCUGGGCUGGAGUGGAGGCUGCAGAACAGUGUGAGCUUCUGAGCGCCGGGCCGGGGGCUGGAGCGCACGCAGGAGAAGUGGCAUCAUCAAGUAUUCAAGCGGUGUGGGAUUGGGGGAGAGGCAUCGGAGGGGUGGGGAGAGAAUUGUAUAGUAAUUAGUUUUUGCUGUAACUUUUGCUAUAUGUAACGGCCUGCACGCCCAUGUCCAAUUGCAUCUCGCCAUUUCAGUAGAAAGUUACUGCUGUGCUUCUGCGUU